CUGUAGACUCUUCAGCCAUCUAUCCUGAAAUGCUCAAAUGACUGACGCCUCAUCUCUAUCAACACCAUUGAAGCUCUCUGCUGAGUGUGCAUAUCACCACAAGUUCAUGCACGUAUUUGGGCAAGAAACAAGGACCUUAGUCAAGACAGGCCACUGAAAACAGUUUACAAAAUGGGGCCAUUUCCACAGUUGCAUUCGAGAUACAGAAAAACCAUAGAGAAUGUGGAUGUGAAGGAUGACCUCAUGCCACAGAUGCACAGAUAAAAUUCAGCCUGGGAAGACAAAGAGAAAAAGAGGAUUGGAUACACCAUGCACAAAACCAUCUCCUGUGGCUUCUCCUUGAAAAGGAACCUGGGGAAACACAUUCUCGACACACACAUGAAUAAUCCCUAUGUCCUCCACAUUGCAAAGCUCACAGGAAUCAGAUGAGUGCAAACACAGGCACGGCAUCUUCUCGAAACUCUUCAGUACCCUGCUCCCAAGAUACACAUGGAGGUUAAUGGCAUCUUGAUGCAGGAUUUAAGCUUUGGUGGGGAAAGAAGUUAAUCUGGGUAAGGAAGAAAUGUCGUCCUAAGAAUGUGAUUCUCAGCUGUCUCACUGUGCUGCUCAUUAGCAAGAGGCACACAACGG